rnacentral:snRNA from 1 species
GUGCUUGCUUCAGCAGCACGUAUACUAAAAUUGGAACGAUACAGAGAAGAUUGCAUGGCCCCUGUGCAAGGAUGACACGCAAAUUUGUGAAGCAUUCCAUAUUUUU